UCGUGUCCCUGGUGCUCAAAGGGGAGAAACUCCAUCUAUAAGAGUGAAAGUUGGACUGAAGAUUAGCUGAAGGCCUUGAACUAGCAAACGCCACUAGUCUGCUUGAUUUAUUAAGGCGGAAUUUAGGAUAAUCUACAGUAAGAAAAAUCAAGUGAAAUGUUGCUUAGCUGGAGUAAAGUUUGGAUUUAGUAAUGUCAUGAAGAGACAGGGAAUUUUGCUGUAGCUUCUUGCACCUACCUCCUUCUCCAGCCACUACAUUCAGCUCCUCUCUCUUCCUACUCAGGCCCCUAUCCAGCAAAGCAAAAACACAUAUCUGUAUCAAGACUAAAUAAAAUUAAACGGACAUAAAAGCACUGCAAUGAAUGGCUAUUUUCCUUCUGAGUGAAAUACUGGAGUCGGGUUACAGGUUGCACUUCCCAAAUACCUGUGGAUGAA